rnacentral:rRNA from 1 species
CCUACGGGAGGCAGCAGUGAGGAAUAUUGGUCAAUGGGCGAGAGCCUGAACCAGCCAAGUCGCGUGAAGGAUGAAGGAUCUAUGGUUUGUAAACUUCUUUUAUAUGGAAAUAAAGUCAGGAACGUGUUCCUUUUUGUAUGUACCAUAUGAAUAAGCAUCGGCUAACUCCGUGUCAGCAGCCGCGGUAAUACGGAGGAUGCGAGCGUUAUCCGGAUUUAUUGGGUUUAAAGGGUGCGUAGGUGGUUAAUUAAGUCAGCGGGGAAAGUUUGUGGCUCAACCAUAAAAUUGCCGUUGAAACUGGUUGACUUGAGUGUAUGUGAGGUAGGCGGAAUGCGUGGUGUAGCGGUGAAAUGCAUAGAUAUCACGCAGAACACCGAUUGCGAAGGCAGCUUACUAAACUAUAACUGACGCUGAGGCACGAAAGCGUGGGGAUCAAACAGGAUUAGAUACCCCGGUAGUC